GCACAGUGGUGCAGUGGGUAGCACUGUUGCCUCACAGCAAGAAGGAAUCCUGGGUUUGAAUCCCAGCCUGGGCC
rnacentral:tRNA from 1 species